rnacentral:lncRNA from 1 species
CGGAGACAGACAGUAACUUCAGCAAAAUCAGAUAUUUGGGCUGCUUGACCUCAUUGCGUGAUUGCUAUGAAUUAACAAGACUUUGUGGGAAAAGGGAACUUGCCUUUUGAGCUUUGUACCAAAGACCUGGGUAAAAACGUUUACUGUAACCGGACACAUUCUGGAUAGGAGGCUCAUGGGAGUAAAUACGUGCUCAAAACUGGAAGUGUCACUGUCUGACAGCUAACCAUCUCAGUCUUUCCUGAGUACUUGGAAACUGCCGAGACCCCUGCUAAUGUGCUGACUGGUCGCUAUGGGCAGACGGUACCCGGAGGCUCACUGUCACCCAAGCAGCUCAUGUACGUAUGGGAUUGGUCCCUCUUCUUUUUUCCUUUAAGUUUCAUUGUAGACUAUUGCAGUAAAGGUUUGUAACAUUUAAAUGAGAGUGUUUAGAAAUGCAGGAGGAUGCGUUGCUCUAGGGUACGUUUUUAAUAUUGAAUGAUGGGAAAUGUUAUUUAAAUUAGGCUUUUUCUAAUCCAGU